UCAGCAGGUGGCCUGGAGAGGAAGAGAAAUGGAGUUAUCACAAAAAGGAAUCUAUAGUACUUGAAAACAAGCAAGAUACAGCAAGACAGAGAAAGAUGAACCUAAGAAGAAUAAGACUUUUUUGUUUUUAGUUUGGAUGAGGAAGCAAAUAAUGGAAGCUGUGACAGGAAAAUUGACACCAAGGCACAUCUCUGAAUAGAAGGCCAGCUCAUAUCAGCAACAAGGCCCAGCUGAUAGAAAAAGGCCAGAUCCUGGAUAUCAGGGCAUGCUUUCUUUCUCAAAGGAACAAACAUAGUGGUACAGAUUGCAAAACAGCUCAUUCAAAUCCAUUUCAUUUUAUGAAACGACAUGUGUUUUUUGAAACAAAAGUCAUUAACUGAUAUGCUUUCACUGUGUCUCCACCCAAAUCUUACCUUGAAUUGUAGGUCACAUAAUGCCCAUGUGUUGUGGGAGGGACCCAGUGGGAGGUAAUUGAAUUAUAGGGGAUGUUACCCUCAUGCUGCAGUUCUUGUGAUGGUGAGUGAGUUCUCACAACAGCUGAUGGUUUUAUAAGGGGC
rnacentral:lncRNA from 1 species